CCUACGGGGGGCAGCAGUGGGGAAUAUUGGACAAUGGGCGAAAGCCUGAUCCAGCCAUGCCGCGUGUGUGAAGAAGGCCUUCGGGUUGUAAAGCACUUUCAGUGGGGAAGAAAGCCUUGGGGCUAAUACCCUCGAGGAAGGACAUCACCCACAGAAGAAGCACCGGCUAACUCCGUGCCAGCAGCCGCGGUAAUACGGAGGGUGCGAGCGUUAAUCGGAAUUACUGGGCGUAAAGCGCGCGUAGGCGGUCUGAUAAGCCGGUUGUGAAAGCCCCGGGCUCAACCAGGGAACGGCAUCCGGAACUGUCAGGCUAGAGUGCAGGAGAGGAAGGUAGAAUUCCCGGUGUAGCGGUGAAAUGCGUAGAGAUCGGGAGGAAUACCAGUGGCGAAGGCGGCCUUCUGGACUGACACUGACGCUGAGGUGCGAAAGCGUGGGUAGCAAACAGGAUUAGAUACCCGUGUAGUC
rnacentral:rRNA from 1 species